AAUUACACACCAUGGGCCACUCCUCCGGUAUUUCGACCUAGGGCUAAACAACGACCAGGUUAUGUCACAGGCCACCUGAACACAAUUAACCAAUGAGAAACGACUUAACCGGUGUAUCCGGUGUCUCUCAAUCAACUCUCUUCAUUUCAUUUCCUACCAGGACCCAGGAAGCUGUGCUAUUGACCAGCUUCCUAUGGCUAUGUUAUCCUUGUAUACAUAGUAAUCAGUCAGAUGUUAGGGUCAUAUAAAGAUCUAACGCCAAAAGUUAUGCCAUUGUCUCCUCUGGGGAUUCGUCAUAAAAUGAAAUUCUAACGACAUUGAGUUUCAUUUUGACCUUUUCACAAUCCCACUCCAUUGACAUAUUAUGUAAAUUUUUCAAGAGAAAAGGAAGUGGACACAGGAAGGUUUGAUUGUGGAGCACUUGGCAAUGCUGGUGAAUAUCAGAAAUAGGACGGAAUGUUAUUCAUAUCUUAACCGAAAAGAAACGAAAAUAUUAUCGUCAGCAAGUGUUAAAAAAAGAAUUGCUGCUGGGGAUGUGAAUGAGUCCAAUUCACAAUUAUAUCAAUAUUCUCUUGAAGAACAUAAGUAACAUUAAUCAUGACAUCCAAUCACAAUUUACCUCCAAUUCAACUGACGUUUGCUGAAAGGAAUUUGAGAAUAUCUAAUGACAUUGGCAGAAACAAUAUUUGCUCUGGGUGAGAUUAUUUGCAAAACAUCUCUCUUUGCAUUCUCGUUAAACUUGGACAGCUUUCGAAAGGAAUUUGCCACAUUUUCAGGCUUCGGAAUAGAUCACAGUUGGUUAAGAUACAGGUGUAAAAACAUCAUACCUGUAUGAUUCUGUUGAAAGUCAUCCUUUUAAAAAGGUAACUUAACUACUCUCAAAUGUAUUCAUACAGGAGAAAAACCAUAUCACUGUGGUCAGUCGUUCUCUGCAAGAUAUAGGCUAACUAGCUUUAGAUAUUCAUAGACAGUGAGCAUAUAUCAUUAUUUUGUUAUACAGUAUGGAUAAUAAUAAGAAGAAGAAGAAUGAGAUCAUGGUUUUUCAGUCCACUAAAUGCUUUGUCUUUGGAUCCCCUAUUUCCUGUGGUUAAGUGGUUUUCACAUUUUCAUCAACAUUUGUGAAGUCUGCCACUGUAGAAAUAGUAGGAAUGAUAUCCUGUAUCCCAAGGAAAUGUUGCCCUCCUCAUUGUCAUCAACUGGUCUUGUCCUCCUUUGUGCUCUGAUUCUGGUUUCUCGAAACCUGCAUGAUAGACACAGUUCUCUAUGGAAUUUGCUGUUUUUGAUAUUUACAAUGCCUCAAGGACAUUCAGUUUGUCCUCUUCACUGAUGUUUUCAGCAUCUGGAAACAUCAUUGUGGCGUACAUCUCAAAACUAAACUAGCUUUCAAACAACAACAAACUUUCUGUAGUUCUUUUUAAGUCUUAAUAAUUCCCUGAUUGCAUGAUUGGUACAUGCUUAUUGUACUGAGAAGCAGUGUUUUAACCGUGAUCGGGUUAAGGUGAUCAAUGUCUUUGGAGUAUGUAAUUAUUGACGAUGGGCAUCACAUUUUGUACUUCAUGCUGAAACAAUUGAUCCAAUUCCUUAACCAUAAUCAAUUAGAUUGUGGACACCAAUCAUGCCUCCUGUUGUGUUUGUAGGCCAGAGGCAACCUUUGGGCUUUCUUGAAGUACCACAGGCUCUUAGAUAUUCCUUAGGCCAGCUGUGGUAACUUAGCAUUGCUGUCUAUGUUUUCAGCAAAGAGAUGUAUCAGCUGGUCUUUGGUGAUCUUCCUAUCAGUUCAAAUUCUCCCUUUUUAGUACCAGUGUCAAUGAGUCUCAUCUGCUUGCUAAAGUGAGACAGUUAAUUAAAACUGUUUGAAACUAAAGCAUCUUCUUUGCACUGUUUUCAGCCAUUUUCCUCUCCUUAUCUUGAGAUGGUCAAGCCAGUCCAUAUUCAGCUUGAAAUUUUUUCAUAUCGAAGACUUUUGAUUUCUUCCUUUUCUUAAUAAGCAACCUAUCUAACCCAGAAAGAUUCAUAGAUCAGUGUUGGGUGAACCACAUAUACAGUGUAUCAUCAAGAUGGUGGUGUUACCUGGCAUAAACUUUUUGGAUACGACAUUUUCCAUGAUAAAACCUUGUUUUCAAAAUUGUAGUCAGGUCACUACUGAGUCUGCCGUAUUCCUUACCCACCUCUGUCCUCAAUCUCAUGUUUUUCCUGAUUUGUUCAUUUCUCUUUGUCUUCAAAGACAAGCAUUUGCAUUUUUGACCAAACAUGAUGGAUGAAGUUGAAACAUUUUUUCCUGCUGCCCAUAGGAAGAGGAAAGCAUUAAUGUUGACAGAUCUCAGGCCAUUGUCAAGGGAUAGUUACUUCAUUAUAGGCAAAGUUGGUCAGCAUUUCACUAAAUCAGUACUUGGUUUAGUGGAUCAAAUUAGUUUAUUAAAAUGACUGGAAAGUUCUUUACAACUAAAGUAAGACAAUUUACAAAAGACAGGCAUGACCUUAUGAUAAGUUUUAUUUAAUAGUCAACACAGCAUACUUCAAAGUAUGGUCUACAAUAAAAACAGACAAGAUGGCAAGAGUUAAUGAUGAGCAGUGAAACAUCUUAUGAGGACAAUCUUUAGAUACAAACACAAAUCAUGCUGUUUAUGACAUUCACCCCUCAUAUGAGGAAGAGAAUGGAUCACACAUGAAAAGAAGAAACAUUUCACAACACGUGUUUAAACAGUUUUGUUGUUUGUUCAAGGGUGUUAAGGUUUCUCAACCUUCAGAACAAUGGGACUAUUUAGGGUUUAGGAUUUUCUAUUACACAAGUUGUAAGGUCUGGUUCUGAUAAAGGAAGUGUGGCAAUGGUGUCCUAGUGGAAUGGUUAGGGUUAGUAUUGGAGCCAGGAGAUUCAUUUUGGUUGGUGUUGUAGUCAACAGAAGACUGCACAUCAUGUGCUUCAUCGGGUGGUGCACGUAUGUCUUGGGUGUUGAUCGACAGCUCCCUCCACAAAAGGAGAAUGUUCACACGUGUUACUAAGCCUUGCUUGAGGGGCACUCCUGUCUUUCAGCAGGUGCAGCUAGUCCAGGGGCUGCUGUGAGAUAGGGUCUGGCUUUUGAACGUAAAGGUCUGCUGCGUCCUUGCCUUUGGGUGGAGCCAGCUGACUUAGAGACACUGUAGUUUCUUUCCCAUCCUGCAGUUUAACAUGAGCAUAGAGUGGAUUGGAGUCCAGUAACUCCACUUUAUCCUCUGGCGGUUCAUAUUUGGAAGUUCUCACAUUUCGUCUCAUCAGAACAGGACCCGGUGACAGAAGCCAACUGGGAAGAGCUGUAGAUUUACGGUUAUAUCAGAAAAGUCUUUCACGAGGCAUUUCAUUGGUCACUGUACAGAGAAUUUUGCAGAACCAGUUCCCACUGAGUGAUUGCCGAUUCUUUUGUCUUCAGAGCCAGGGUUACAUUGAGGCGUUCAACCUGACCCUUUCCCCUGGGGUUAUAUGCUGUAGUUCUACUUGUAGCAAUUCCCUUGCUAUGUAAAAACCCUUUCAGUUCUUUAGAUAUGAAACUUGUCCCCCUGUUAAAAUGAAUGUAGGAGGGCAUGCCAGAAAGGGAGAAAAAUUUACAAAACCAUUUUUUGAUAGUUGAAGCACUCAUGUCGGGACAAGGGAAGCUAGAGUAUUCAUCAAUGGCAGUAAGAAGAUACUUGUUGUGUGAAUUAGAAGGCAAAGGUCCUUUGUGAUCAACACUGAUUCUCUGAAAAGGCUGUGUUGCUUUAAUAAAAUGAGAGGGAGAAUGUUGGUGGAAAGAAGGUUCGAGUUCACGGCAGACAUUACGUUAGAGCUGGUUUAGAUGUAGUCAUGUUCCACUGUAUCAUGAAAUCUUAAAUAAGUAGUGAUGUGUUUGUGUCUCUGGUCUACAGAAAUAAAGACACAUUUCUUUGUUAUGUUAUCAGUUCCUUGAAAUAUCUGUUGUUGAGGCAAAUAAUAACAUAUUUUCGGUCAUUAAAGACUGAUUUGUCUCUUUCUACAAUAUGUCCAAGUCUAACUGGAUUAGCAAUAAAAUACUCAGUCAUUAUAUCACUUAAUUUUGCCAAUUAACCAUAGCUAAUCCACAUUCAUGUGUCAAGUUUUUAGAUGAUGCAAAUCCAUAUGGCUGCAGGCAUUAUUUCUUCAAAUUUCAAUUUCCUGGUCUCAAAGAAUGCAUUCUUUGUCUUAAUUAUUUCUUUGUGACAGUCAUUUCAAUUCUGUCACCAACAUCUAAUCAUUCUCAUGAUGGUUGUAACAAAGUGCCCCUUGGGGUGGUAGGAACUGGUCGUUUGGUGGCAAAAGAGUUAUGCAUAACUUAAGGGAAUUGAGGGUCAGUGUAAAUGAUGAGAGUCUCUGGUUGUCUGCUUUUUGCUUUGUCACCUUUCAUGUUGCUAUAAAGGUCGACAGUUCAUAAAUAUUGUCUUGCCAUUGUAACGAGUCCAUUGAAAGGAUUUUCCAUACCUUGGGUCAUCAGCGUUACUCUUUGUUAGGCAUGGAGCUCAUUUGACAUGUUUCGAGGCUUCUUGAUCCUCAAUCUCAACAGACUUUAUUGACCCAGUGCACAUUCUCUAGCUCCGUUUAGGUAGGUUUUCAAACCCUGCUGCAGACUGUAAAUCGAAUUUCAUCAUUGCUCACAUGGCUCAAGUUGCCACCUGCCACAGCUUAUCUUAUUCCAGUACAGAAUACCAGAAUAUACAGACAUAGUGUUUCUGAGAUUAUCUAUUUUCUCUCAUCUGUAUACCAUAAUCCUGGUAAUAUGUGGUUUACACUACAUCUUGUCCAAUGUAUUGAUGCUGACUUGUGACUGAGCUUCAUCCCUAAACAAUUAAGCUUGGUAUGUCCUGAUAAGUGUUGCUUAGAACCAAGCUUAGAGAACACCCUAAUAUCAUAAUAUUUUAAUUACCACUGUAUAUUUUGCAAACACUCAUUCAAGGCUUCUGCAUUAUCUCCCUAAUAGGUUUGUGACUUGAAUAUAUCUCAAAGUAUAUUGGUGGAACCUCUCCUGUGGCAUAGCAUGUCUAUACAUCCCUCAGAGCCAUGUGGCUGCCCUUUUGCUUUUGUUGAAAUGCUGCUCUGACUCCUCCGUCAGUUGUACUUCAUGAGGGACCGUUUGGGUUGUAAUUGCGUAAAAUAACUGGUUCAACAGUUUACAGCUUGUAAUACAACAUUUAGUUAUUUCCUCCAUGUCCAUUGGUUACCUUUUGUCAUUCUUCCAAGACACUGGUCCUUGAGCUAUUUCAGCUUUUACCACGACAUGUUAGAGUUUCUGUAUCUGUCAAUGCUUUUCCAAUUUAUGACAUUGUUGUCAGCAACACAUCACUCCUACCAAAGCUCACUGUAGUUUUUACUGAAACGUUACUGAUGAUACAUCCAAUUUAAAGAAUAGACAAAGUCAUUUGGAUUGUCUAUAGGACCUUUGUGAUAUAGUAAACUCUGUUACUUGAAUAUGCCAAUACUCUGGGCAUAAUUUUUCAGGGUAAAAUACUCUUGCAUCUUAAGGAUAGGCAUCCUUUAUAAUUGCUACAAAAUAAAAUUCGUAUUUCAGAUCUGAGUUCUGAACUUUGAAGUUCAUCUAUACUCUUAGCUUGCCAUGAGUUCAUUUCUGUAGUUCGGCCUUCAUGUCAGCUUCCAGAAUAAUUGGAACAUGAUGGGCUGAGCUACAUUGUCUGUCUCUAGUUUCUGUAUUCCUGCUAUUGUACUCACACCAUCCUUGAACACUUUUUGUUUAUGCUACUUGGGCUGCAGUUUUCAGCCUGGUUAAAAACCAUAAAUUCACAAUGGUGUGCAACAAUGAGAUCCAUAAUGCAGACUAGAUUGGAAUGGACAAUGUGGAACUACUUGGUGUUGUCGUCCAUUUGUUGGAUCAAUCCUCUUCCCUUUGGCCCUACCAAAUGGUUCCUCUUUUAUCUUGGAUCAUGAUUGAAGUACAGUGGAAGGCAGUUCUGAAGGUGUACUUUCAGGCAAUUGAUUUUGGCCUACAAUACUUAAUUUCUGGUCUGCUUUUAGCUUGCUUGCUUGUCUGCAAUAAUGCUGACUUGUACUUCCUGAGGGACUGUUUGGGUCAUAAUUGUGUAAAAUAACUGGUUCAACAGUUCUUUUCAAAAUUAUUUUAACAGUCUUCAAAAGUUUACAGCUUGUAAUACAACACUUGUUUAUUUUCUCCAUGUCCAUUGGCUACCUGAUGUAAACCCUCUUGCUGUGUUUUCUUCUGGAACCUUUUAACCCAUUGUUUUCUUCAGCAAGUUUUUAUGACUGCCUCAGUGGCUGGUCUAUCAGUGCUAAUAGCUUGUAUCUAGUUUUAAUACAAGCAAUGCCUCAAAAAACUUGGUUGUACCACAGUUAACAGGGGAAAGCACAAGUUUUUUUGCCAGGUCUCCAACUUCACCAUGAAUGUAUAAAAGAUUUUGCUAUAAUUUUGGCUGGCAAUAUCUAACACAAAGUCAUGUUUUUCUUUUCUUUAUAAUUGUGGAGUGUGAUUUGGUAAAUUAUAAUACCAAAUAAUUCCACAGUGGUAGCUAUGGCUGGGUUACUGGUUUCAACCACCUUCACUGCUGACUUUUUUGUUAUAUACAGCAGUACAGUAUGAUAAUUCUUCGUCUGUAGCUUUGACACUGUUGUAAAAGUGUUUCAUUGCUACUCAAAUAUUUUUGGAAGAUUCCUUGUCAUUAUACAUAUUGGUGGACUUGAGAGUGUUAAUUUUGUUCAAGAAUUGUGUGUUAUAACAUUUACUUCAAUAUCUGUGGUAAACGAUUCUCUGCUGGGAGUGUCUUAACAUACAAGUUGAUUCAUAUUGGAAAAGGAUCAUAUUGCUGUGAUAUCUGUGGUAAAUCAUUAUCUGAAAGAAGUAAUUGUAUUACUUUAUCUAUAACGAGAGAGCAACCAUAUUGCUGUGAUAUCUGUGGUAAAUCAUUCUCUUGAAAUAGUGACUUAACAAACAAACAUAAAAGCUAUGUUAUGAACAAGUCACUUCACUAUACGUGUAUAUAUUUAUACAAAAGAGUAACCAUAUCGAUACCAAAGGUCAUUCUUUGCCAAGAAAAUAUCUUGUAUAUCCAUUGAUGUAUUCAUACAGCAAAGUAGAUAUAACAGUGAGCUAACAAACUCUUCAUACCAUUGUGAUCAUUUUGGAAAAGCACUUUAUCAGAAUACUCAUAUUCUCUGUAACAUGUUUCCAGGAGGGAGGAAAUAUACUCUUGAUUUAUUUGAUAAUGGGAUAACCACUAUAGUUAUGUUAAAGGGAGUCCUCAUAUGCCAUAAGAUACACAUGUUAUAUUCUGGUUUAAAUUUCAUGUAUUCCAUUGUCUUUUCUUUGGAAUCUCGUGUUUCCAGCAAAUGCCUGAAGAUCAGUUAUUUCUUCAGAUAAGCCAAUGACAAUUACUUUAUGUGCUCCAGUUUCAGCAGCUUUCUCAGUGCACCUAUAUUCAAGGAUGUUUCAUAUCCCUUCAAAGAAUAUCGAUGCAAUUUGUCUAAUUUCAUCCCUUAUGGCAUGAUUUCCUCGUGACUAAGGGGAAGGUGAAUGGGUGGUGUAGCUUAGGAAUCAUUGCCAUCACCCCCAAGCCCCUCUGCUUCACCCAGCAUUGGCAAAUUCUUUAUUUAUUGGGGGAACUGCUCUUCUGUCACUCACCCAUUAUAUCUUGUCGCUGUUACUGUUGCGCUACUUUUAUCCUCACAGACAUUGACUAAACAGAAUGCAUUUGCAAGAAUGAUAUACCACAUCUCACAGUGAUAAGGAUUUUCUUUUGUAUGAAUACGUUUGUGAGUAGUUAGAUUAUCCUUUUGAGAAAAUGACUUUUUACAGAUUUCAUAAUUGUAUGAUGUAAUCUUUAGGCAUAUUUUUAGAAAAAAAAAAAAAAUCAAGCCUUUUAACUGUGUUUUACAUUGAUCCUCGUUCUGUCAUCCUUUAGGAUUCAACAAAAUAAAGGACCAGUCUAAAAAUGUGGGUUGACAGGGUUGGUGUCAAGCAUAAAUGCAUUGUAGCAUUUAAUUAUGGUUUGAUACUUUAAGUUUAACUCCCGACCGAGGUCAACUUUGCCUUUUGGCCUUCUGGGAUCAAUAAAGUCAAUGUAAUUGACUGAUCCUUUCCCUGAAAUUUCUGACCCUGCGUCUAAUUUUGAAAGACUGAUUAAAAAUUAUGUUUUAUUGAAUAAUAAAAAUAUGUUUUUGAAAUAA